ACACAUGAUGGAAAAGUCAGGGCAACAAAGGGCUAGGAAAACCAGGACAACCAGUUCCCCCAACUCCACCCUCCUCCCAAACACUUAUGGCAAGUAAUAUUCAAAGACAAGUACAAAUGUGAUUUUCAACCCAACUAGUGUUUCAACUCCACUAAAGCUCUGCCUUUGAACUUACAGGGCGUGCACCUUCUCAGCGGAACAGAAGGAGGCUGUGGGAAGAGCAUGAAAUGCAAGAGCAUCGUGGGAAAGACCAGAGUCACAAAUGCCAUGGCUCCUCCCCAAAACCCAUCCGGAAGACCUGAGUAAUGUUGCUAAGGAAACAGGCAUCACCUACCGUUAGGUCCAAGAGUCUAGCAAGGCUUUUCUCAGGAAAAAUAGAACAGCUACAAAACAGGAAUUGUCCUGUCUUCUGCAGGAGCCUAUUGCCCACACCCUGCUGGAUCAAGCUAUAAUGUCCUACUUUCUGAUCCCUGCUAGGGAGGGCCUGUGGAGCCUGAAACUCUGCAAGCUCAUAAGUGUUUGAAAGGUUAUUCCUCAAAUACUCUCCUCUGGAAGCUCUGUAGUUGAAGAGACUAACAUCAGGAAGGGAACUGAUUGCAGGUAACCCUCCCUUUCUCUUUUCAAAUUAUGACUGAUAGAAGGGAACAACUUUUUCUUAGGUUCAGAUACAAACUUCACAUUUCAGUAGUCACAUCCAAAGUUUAUUUGGCUUUUUGGUUUGCUUUAAAAACAAGAAACAUUUCUGGUGCCACAAACAUGAAAAAAGGUUCCUCACAAAAGGCAACAAACCCCAACGUGCCGCUAAAUAACGUGUUAUUGUAAAACAACUUCUGAUCUCCCACAGGUUUUUGAAAAACAGGCUGGUAUAUAGUUCCAUUUCUCUCAUCUUGAAAAUUACUGAACUAACCUCUGACUAGCCUAGAAUAAACUUCCACAGCAUGUGGUCAUCAUUUAAAUACUCCACUCAAGGUAUUUCAGUUCUCUUUAAUUUGCAUCACUUUUCAUGUAUUUUGACUUCAGCUUUCAGAGUUAGAACGCAGUGACAGGGAUCUUGCAAGCAAUUUGAAAGGUAUGCCAGAGUGCAGCCCUAUUUGAUUUGGAAGAAUGGACAAAUCUGUAAGGAACAAUCAGCUUCUUCCUAGUCCUAGGGGGUAAUUUUCUGUACAAGCUCACCGUUCUCAAUCAGGCACUGUGAAGUACACACUUAACUGGAACAGCCUCCAGUGCAGGGGACUGGCUGUUUUUCCUCCAGUCUCGCUCACUAACGGUUAAGAUUUUAAAGCUCUUAACCUUCAACAGAGAAAUUGCUUUGAAUUUCAUUAUAAGCAUCUUCUCAUUGACCAGUCUGAUUGCAGAGUCUUUAAAGGACACAAUCAAAAACAUCCCUGACCACAUAAUAAAUAAAGCCGACACAAUAAUAGGUCUUUCAGAAUUCUAUAGGAGAUGAGCAGUUGAUUCCUUCAAGCUGAGCAGAGAAGCAUGAAAUGAACUUCAGCUUGCAACAAACUAGGGAGACAUGUAAGAAAGAACAUGUCCCAUUUUCAUAUUACUUAAUACUGAGAUUGACAAGGCAUUGUAGCAACACAGAGGAAGAUCCUGCAAUGGAGGAAAGCCCUAAAUCUAAAGAGAUCCGGAGGCACCAAGUAUUUUAAGUGAUAACAAUUUUAGAGGUCUACACAUGCCAGAACGUAGUUUCUAUUCUAAAGCACUAUAAACAGUCUACUGUAACUCAGUGGAACAAAAUUCCAUUGAUUUUUUAGAAAAUAUACUUAAGAAAACUCUUAGAAAAAAAUAAGUAGAAAGCUUGCUACUAGCUCUAGUGAUAAACUUAUUAGUUUUCACUCUAUGCAAAGGAAAUGGAACAAUAUUAAGGUGAAUGAAUUUAGGUGUAGAUCAAAAAAUGAAGGAUUAUGCUGCCAGGGAGUGAAGGAUUAUCAUCACUUACCUCCCUCAUCCAGAAGCUUCCCACUCAGGGGCUGGGAUGUAUCUGAAGAGUAACAUGUAAUGGAAAUUUGUAGCAUUAAAUUAACUGCAGCUGAUUGGAAGCACCUGAUGGAGAAGAGGUGAGAAUACCUGCUGUUUUAGAAGUGUGAAUAGGAUAAUCCCCAAACCUGACUUUCUGGUCUUCUGCCCUGACAUUAACUAUUAAGGUUACAAUCUGUCUGAACACUGGAAAAAAUACU